GCUUAGCCCCAAUAGGAACGGCAUCCUUUUGACUGCUCCUUUAGCAGACAAAAGAUAUAGUGGAUAGCGGGACUAUUG
rnacentral:sRNA from 1 species